CGAGAGAAAUUUGUACGAAAGUAAAUACCGGAAGUGAAACCCUUGAAACGUAAAGCGGGAAGCAUUUCUGUCGACUUUGGACUUCGUCGAGAGAGAAAUAUCUUUAGGAAGAUUUUAUUUUUUUUUUUAGUCAUUCAAAGUUGAAGGGAAAAUGUCUGAAAUGAAACCACAACAUCAUGUGUUUUUACAAUAUUUCAUGUCAAAAGGGCUUGUUGACUCAAAAGGAGUUCGUAACCUCUUCAAGUUAUGUUGUAAAGAUAUGGUUGACGCAAGUUCCGUGACGAGCCAGAGUGAAUGGAUGCAGCAACUGGCCAACUUUGUAAUCAUCAUCAACAACAACAUUCGACCUUUUCACCUGAACAUCCUGAAAGGCUUUGAUGAGGAUGAUGGCACCAGCUAUUACUGUCUGGUCAACACUUGUGACAAUGCAGUCACACGCCUCUCUACAGACUACUCGGUCAAUGAACUGGAACUUUUCAAGUUGUUUCUCGACCGUAUUAUGAGCUCAAACGAUGCAUCAGUUGGAUCUGUUCAGGCCCUGAACCUGACUCAUGAAUUGGAAAAAAAGAUGAGCAAAGACGAUGCUCAGCGUUUCUUUGAUCGGAUGGUGAAUGAAAAGUGGUUGAAAAGGACAAUACGUGGCAAACUGCAGCUGUCAACACGAAGCAUCCUUGAGUUGGACAAUCAUAUUCGAAAAAUGUACCCAGAUUUGGUGGAACUGUGCAACAUCUGCAACCGUUUAUGUCUGCAGGGUCAGUCGUGUCCAAAGUGCAUGGCAAAGUUGCAUAUCUUCUGUGCAAAGCGUUACUUUGAAAACCAGGCAGAACCAAAAUGUCCAAAAUGUUACACUCCUUGGACCAACACAAAUCAAAACCGAGAAUCUGUGCGUCGCUCCUCUCGCCGAAAUACACCUAUGUCAUAUGAACAAAUGGAAGAAUAAACUGUAAGAUGGGGAAGAAAAACAUGUUUGUAAAAUAUUGGUUCUCUUUCUGGCUUUCUUCUGCAGAAUUUGCAAACAGUUAUGGCUGAAUAUCAGUCCUUCUCUGCUACUGUCCCCUUUUGUUCUGUUAAUCUUCCUAUUAAAUUUUUUUCAAGUCCCUUACUCUCAGGUGAUAUUGUACUAUGUCCAAUGUAAAUUACAUCCUGAUGUGUUCAACUGUUCUCUCAACCAUAAAAUUUGCUCCAUCACUCUUAA
rnacentral:misc_RNA from 1 species